CCUACGGGAGGCAGCAGUCGAGAAUCAUUCACAAUGGGGGAAACCCUGAUGCUGCGACGCCGCGUGGGGGAAUGACGGUCUUCGGAUUGUAAACCCCUGUCAUGUGGGAGCAAAUUAAAAUGAUAGUACCACAAGAGGAAGAGACCGCUAACUCUGUGGCAGCAGCCGCGGUAAUACAGCGGUCUCAAGCGUUGUUCGUAAUCACUGGGCGUAAAGGGUGCGGAGGCUGUUUUGUAAGUCGUAUGUGAAAGGCGCGGGCUCAACCCGUGAACUGAUCAUGAUACUGUGGGACUAGAGUAAAGGAGGGGUAACCGGAAUGCUCGGUGUAGCAGUGAAAUGCGUAGAGAUCGAGAGGAACACGAGUGGCGAAGGCGGGUUCCUGGACAUUAACUGACGCUGAGGCACGAAGGCGAGGGGAGCGAAAGGGAUUAGAUACCCUUGUAGUC
rnacentral:rRNA from 1 species